GGUAAAUUUCUUCUAAAGCUAAAUACUGGCCAGAGACCGAUAGCGCACAAGUAGAGUGAUCGAAAGAUGAAAAGCACUUUGGAAAGAGAGUUAAAAAGCACGUGAAAUUGUUGAAAGGGAAGCGCUUGCAGCCAGACUUGCCUGUAGUUGCUCAUCCGGGUUUUUACCCGGUGCACUCUUCUAUAGGCAGGCCAGCAUCAGUUUGGGCGGUUGGAUAAAGGUCUCUGUCAUGUACCUCUCUUCGGGGAGAACUUAUAGGGGAGACGACAUGCAACCAGCCUGGACUGAGGUCCGCGCAUCUGCUAGGAUGCUGGCGUAAUGGCUG
rnacentral:rRNA from 1 species